GAUGAACGCUAGCGGCAGGCUUAAUACAUGCAAGUCGAGGGGCAGCACGGGGUAGCAAUAACUGGGUGGCGACCGGCAAACGGGUGCGGAACACGUACAGAACCUUCCUUUAAGCGGGGAAUAGCCCAGAGAAAUUUGGAUUAAUACCUCAUAGUAUUGCUUGGUGGCAUAACCGUGCGAUUAAAGAUUUAUCACUUAAAGAUGGCUGUGCGGCUGAUUAGGUAGUCGGCGGGGUAACGGACCACCAAGCCUGCGAUCAGUAAGCGGCCUGAGAGGGCGAUCGGUCACACCGGAACUGAGACACGGUCCGGACUCCUACGGGAGGCAGCAGUGGGGAAUCUUGCGCAAUGGGCGAAAGCCUGACGCAGCAACGCCGCGUGGAGGAUGAAGGCCCUUGGGUUGUAAACUCCUGUCGGCUGGGAAGAAAUCGUACGGUGCUCAUACCACCGUGCGUUGACUGUACCAGCAAAGGAAGCCCCGGCUAACUCUGUGCCAGCCGCCGCUGUAAAAC
rnacentral:rRNA from 1 species